AAACUUAAAGGAAUUGACGGGGAGCACCACAACGGGUGGAGCUUGCGGUUUAAUUGGAUUCAACGCCGGAAAUCUUACCGGGACCGACAGCAAUAUGAAGGCCAGGCUGAAGACUUUGCCGGAUUAGCUGAGAGGUGGUGCAUGGCCGUCGUCAGUUCGUACUGUGAAGCAUCCUGUUAAGUCAGGCAACGAGCGAGACCCACGCCCACAGUUGCCAGCGUACUCUCUGGAGUGACGGGUACACUGUGGGGACCGCCGCUGCUAAAGCGGAGGAAGGAAUGGGCAACGGUAGGUCAGUAUGCCCCGAAUAUCCCGGGCUACACGCGAGCUACAAUGGUUGGUACAAUGGGUAUCUACCCCGAAAGGGGACGGGAAUCUCCUAAAACCAAUCUUAGUUCGGAUUGAGGGCUGCAACUCGCCCUCAUGAAGCUGGAAUCUGUAGUAAUCGCGUCUCAAAAUGGCGCGGUGAAUAUGUCCCUGCUCCUU
rnacentral:rRNA from 1 species